UUGCACGAGGACCUUGCACAAGAGUGAGCCUUUCAUGAGGUCCUUGCACAAGAGCCUCAGGUGCAGACCUUGCACGAGGAUAAGCUGCUUUCCACAAGGACCAUACACAAGGAUGAGCCACUUUGCACAAGGAUAUUGCAUUAGGAUGAGCCUUGCACAAGGGCCGUGUACAAGAGCCACAGGAGCCUUGCACGAGGGCCUUGCAUUAACAUCAGCUUUGCACGAGGACCUUGUACAAGAACCUCUGCUUAGGACCUUACAUGAGGAAGGAUCGCUUUGCACAAGGAUCUCACGCGAGGAUAAGCCUUGCACGAGGACCAUGCACAAGGAUGUGGUGCAGAGUGAAGAUCCCUUGCACAAGGACAGGCUUUUCACAAGAGGUUCGCCUGUGUGAUAGCGUUGUGUAAGGAUGAGGUUGGUGUGUGAGCUUUGCACAAGGGCCUUACACAGAGACCUCGUGCAAGGAGCCCAUGGGAAUACCUUCAGUAAGAAUGACUCUUGCACAAGGAUCUUGCACACGCCUCGUGUCAAGACAUCCUCUGAAGACCCAAUUAAGGCCUCAAGCUUUGCACGAGGGCCUUGCACAAGGAGCGUGCCUGUGGCUCUUCCUUGCACGACGGCCUGCAUGGGGCCCUUCCAUGAGAUCCUCGCACAAGGAGGGGUUUUGCACGACCAUCUUCCACAAGAGCCUUGCACGAGGGCCUUGCACCAGAGCCUCACACUGAGCCGGUUCUUGCACGUGGGCCUGCAUGACAACAACCUUUGCACAAGGACCUCGCACGAGGACACACCGUGCCUUCCAUGAGGACCUUGCACGAGGACACCAUGUGCCUUUCACCACAGCCUUGCACGAGGACGCAUUGUGCACAAGGAACUCUCCCAAGGAUGAGCCACGGCACGGCCUUGUGCACAUGCGAACCUUACAGGGAGAAGUGCCUUGCACGACAGCCUCGCACGAGGACGAGCCUUGCACGAGGGACUCGCAGACAGCCGUGCCUUGCACGAGGACCUUGCACAAGCGUGGCUAUCAGCGUGCACAAGGACGAGCCUCGUGCGAGGGCUUUGCACGAGGACGCUCCUGGCAUUGGGGCCUUGCACGAGGCCUUUCCAUGAGCGGGGCCUUGCACGAGGCCUUGCACGAGGACUGUGCACGUUGGGGGGGGGGGUUGGGGGGGGCGCCCCAUUAUUUCUAUCACAGUCGAUUUUUGAGACCAAGAAAAG
rnacentral:lncRNA from 1 species